rnacentral:piRNA from 1 species
UGAAACAGUGGAUUUUUGGGC